CUUCCAAAAUAGGUGGAAAAUGGGGUCUGGGGGUGGACAGAGGCAGAAUCAAAACUGCGGGUUGUGAGUAUAGCUGAGAAUGUAAUUUACAAAGAGGAAGAAGCAAUUGGAAAGAGGAACGGUGGCUGCUGAGGGCAAUUCCCUCUCUAAAGAUCACUAAAUGUUAACUGUUUAAUUGACCAUUUCACACAGAACCAAAGAAAACAAAACCCGAAGCAUGGUAACUGCACUUGUUGAGAAGAUGAAUUAACAAUGGACACCUAGUAGACGUGAUCUUGAUGACAACAUAGACAAAGAGCAGGAGAGUGUCUCUCAGGAUCAUUGGAGCUGAGCGCAAUCCUGCCUUCAUAUUGUGAUCAUAUAAAGCCUCACACAAUAGGGAUCACUGAAUCAAGACUGGGAACACAGCCUGAUUUUAUCUCCUAGCCCAAGGUGUUGGAUGCCACAGGAGUGUUUUCAAGGUUCAUGACUCACUUUGCCUUCAUUUGGGAGAUGGAUCCUCAGCGAGGGUCAUAAUGUCCCCUUUUGACAAUCAGGAACAUUGGAGCCGAGCGCAAACCUGCCUUCAUCCUAUGGACAUACAGAGCCUCACACAGCAGGAGUCACUGAAUCAAGACUGGAACCACAAUCUAAUUUUCCCUCCCUAACCCCGGGUGCUGAAUGAGAUAAAUGGUAGUGGCCCUAACGCCCCCGGCUGAAUCAGCUACCUCAACAUAGACCAAGGAUUUAAUCGGGACCUUCCCAGCCUGUGUGGCUCAGCUACUCACUAUAGCAACACACUAAUAGAUAGUUCUGCUUGGUACUUCACAGCUGAAUAGUUGAUAUUCACAAUUUUGAAUAGUUGAUAGUUCCUGAAAAAAUGAAAAAACCGUCUUGAACUUUUUGCCAAGAGCUUUCGAUUGGUAAUGAAGUGGGGUAUUACAAUUCAUUUGAGUAGUAAUUUUAGAAAACUGAAGUGAAGUGGUUUAGUCACAAAAUGUUUGAUCAAUGGAAUAUUACAUGUGCCCUGAUAACUUCAAUACAACCAUC